rnacentral:sRNA from 27 species
ACUGUGGAGUGCUAUACAAACUGUAGUAGCUUCGGCAAGGCAGAGGCAAGGCAGAGUACAUUGAAGCAGUAA